CCUAGGGGGGCUGCAGUGGGGAAUAUUGGACAAUGGGCGAAAGCCUGAUCCAGCCAUGCCGCGUGUGUGAAGAAGGCCUUCGGGUUGUAAAGCACUUUCAGUGGGGAAGAAAGCCUUGGGGCUAAUACCCUCGAGGAAGGACAUCACCCACAGAAGAAGCACCGGCUAACUCCGUGCCAGCAGCCGCGGUAAUACGGAGGGUGCGAGCGUUAAUCGGAAUUACUGGGCGUAAAGCGCGCGUAGGCGGUCUGAUAAGCCGGUUGUGAAAGCCCCGGGCUCAACCUGGGAACGGCAUCCGGAACUGUCAGGCUAGAGUGCAGGAGAGGAAGGUAGAAUUCCCGGUGUAGCAGUGAAAUGCGUAGAGAUCGGGAGGAAUACCAGUGGCGAAGGCGGCCUUCUGGACUGACACUGACGCUGAGGUGCGAAAGCGUGGGUAGCAAACAGGAUUAGAUACCCUGGUAGUC
rnacentral:rRNA from 1 species